GAACAGUAUUGGCUGGAAAACUUAAAUGUCUGCCCAAAAGGGAUUUGAAGAGAACUGUGUUAAUGACGGCAGGUGAAAGUCUGAAAGCUUGUCUUGAGCAAAGAGUAUUAUCUCUUUACAAUGCUCUUACACAACAGGCUGAGCGUAUAACUCGUCCCUGCCUCCGACUGAAGACAGCAGUGUGUCUGGCAGGUGGACUCGAAAAGUGGGACAGCUCACCGUGAGGUAAGAGAGGAAGCAGGCCAAGAGGAAGAACCAGUGAUCAAGAUCACAUCCUUUACCUCCGUGUACUAAACCCUUCGGCUUGGGGCUGAAGAAGAGCUGCUCCCCCUCCUGCAACCUCUGACCCCUUUCCCACACGCUCAGACUAAAUAAACUGAUCUCUUCAUUCUUAAGAAAA